AGUUUGAAAGACGACGUUAAGUCGGAUGUUUUAUGCUCCUUUCUAUAAAAGGAACAAACACAAUAAAAAAAAAAUGAAGUUCACGAUCAUUCUGGUGUCGUUUUUUAUUCAUUUUUGUGAUUCAAAUGAUUUCCAAUGUGUUCAUCUCACUGAUACAAUGGAAUUGGCCGAGUUUUACUGUGAAAAUUUCAACGAAACUCUGCCUGUGAAUUGUUCAACCACGUAUCUGUACUCCAUUGGUCAUUAUGAUAAAUCAAAAGUGACACGAUUGAAGAUCGGUGGCUGUGACGAGGACAAAAUCGCACAAAUCAUCGGUGACUUUCGAAAUAUAUGUUCAUUGGACAUUUGUUGCUCCAAUCUUCGAUCAUUGACUCCAUUCGAUGUAACACUCGAGCAUUUGCGAGCAUUCAACGCUUCGCAUAAUCAGCUAACUGAAGAUCCAAGCGAUAUUUGGACAAAAAUGCCCCAUGUGAUGGAUGUUGAUUUAUCACACAAUAAUAUUUCAUACAUACCUCAUUAUGAUCCGAUAGAUCUUCCAAAUUUGGAAAUCAUUGACUUGAGCCACAACAAACUAAAGAAAAUUGAUCAUGAUGAUAUAUUCGGCAAGUUGCUGAAAAGAGAUGUUGCGGUGCAUAUUUCAUGGCAAAACGUGACUAAUUUUAAAAUAGAGGAAAACAUUGGAAAACCAAUUCGUGUUGUUUUAAAUCAAACGGAGGGGAUUUGGCCGUCAUCCGAUGGAAAUCGCACUGAAUUCCAGUGCCGUGAAGGAAGCUUCAAACAAAUAGGCUUAUUCGAAAUUACGGACAACCACAUUGAAAAUCCAAGCGAAAUGCUUCGUUGUUUGACACCAUCACUUGGGCAACUUAUAUUAAAUGGAAACUUUACCGAACAUCUAAGUUCUACCUCACUUGAACCGUUCAUUGAUCUAUGGGAAUUGGCUAUAACUGGUGCGCAGUCAUUGGAAUUCGAUUUAAGUUCAAUCAAAAAUCGGAAGCAUCUUUACGCUCUCGACAUUUCGAGCAACAACUUGGAAGAAAUUGGAAAUGUUUCACUGUUGGAACAGUUCUCAAUGAUCAACUAUUUUGGCGCAACCGAAAAUCAACUGAAAAACGUACCCCAGCUAAUCCAACACUUCAGAACAAAAAUGAUUAGACUACUCUUGAGUGGAAAUCACGUUGGGCAAUUGAAUACGACCACAUUCGAAAAGUUUGAUGUAUACGAAUUGUAUUUGCAAAACACAAAUCUAUCGUUUGACGAUUUUCGGCCGUUUGAAUCGCUCAAAAGUUUAAUGAAACUCGACAUUUCUUACAACAACUUAGAAGUGACAAAUUUUUCAGUACCAUCGACGGCUUUAAAGGCUCUCUUUUAUUUCUCUGCUGCUUAUUGUAACAUUACAAACGCUUCGGAAUUGAUUGAACUUCUCGGGCCACGAAUUUGGUUUCUCGAUCUAUCAGGAAACCAUAUUGGAACACUGAAUGCCACCAAAUUCGAGGACUUCAUAAAUCUGCAGACUCUGAAUUUGAGCAGAACAAAUUUGAUCGAAUUUGAUUUCAGUGUAUUAAGACACUCGCGCUAUUAUUCUGAGGCGGAUUUUUCUCACAACAAUUUGAAAAGGGUGACCAUUACGUCAGCAUCAUCGAAUUUGGGCAUACUUUUCUUAAACGACAAUGAAUUGACGGAAGUUGAACCAUUCACAACAUUUAACUUUCCGAAAUUGUGGAAUUUGUCAAUAUCAAAGAACCAAAUUACAUGCACUGCCAUGGCAGAACUUAAACGCAAUUGGCCGAAUUUGAAAUUCGUUGGUAAUCCCUUUGAACAAAAACAUGGCGAUUGCUCAAGUGUUGUUGAGCUGAUAAAUAACUUGGGUUUUGUUGGAACUUUCAUUUCCAAGUGGUUUUGAUAUUUUUGUUUGAUUGUAAUGAUUUUGAAAUGAAAUUUGAACAAUUGUAUAAUGAAUGAAAUUGUUGUUUUGAAAAUGGACCAGAGCCAAAUAAAAUGGAGCAAAUACCAAUAGAAUUCCAUUUUGUACUGAGAUACACUUCAAAUUUCAACAUAAAAUAAAUACAUCAAAGAAAUUCUCAUGUAAACGUUUGAAGAUUUUAACGACAAUUAAUACAUUUUUGAAACUCAAAUUUGAAUUGGCCUCAAGUAGACAGUUGACAGUUAAUGUCAACUUUGAAUUGUCACAAAUGUCACUGGCCUGCUGUUAAGCUGCGUUUAUCACAUGUUUUCAUACUCUUGUGAAAUACAUAGUCGGAAUCGGAAGGAAAUUUCAAUUGCGGAAGUAUCUACCGAUAGUAACAUUUGCAUCGAAUCAAAUCAAUCAAAAUGAGUGAGAAGAACGAUGACAAUCAACACAGCCCAGAAACUGAUAAGACAAAAGAAAGUGAAGCAAGUCAUCAAAAUGAACUUUCUGCAGCUCUGAAUGCCAUUAAUCUAGGAACAAAAGUAGUACCGCCCAUUUUCAAUCUAUGGAUCGAUUGUUUGGAAGAAAUAUUCGAUUGGCUAUCGAUCAAUGAUAUCCAUUCAUUUGGUCAAACCUGUACAAAGUUCUACCAAAUUGUUGGCGUAUAUUUCAAAUGGAAGUAUAAGCGGGUGCUUGGUAAUGUCUACGACGAUUCAAUGACUGUUAACUGGAAAUAUUUGAAUGGAUUCAAUGAAUUUGCCCAGCGAUUGUCAUUCUACAGCCGUGAGCCAGAUCGAUCGCUUCUCUUUGCCCUGGCAAAUUGUAAAUCGCCCAAAGAGAUAAAUAUCGUCAACGCACAUUUCAGUGAGCUUGAUAUUCAACCGUUCGAGAGCAUGCUGAGUAAAAUAGAAAUCAUGAGACUCAGUUGCCAUUUGUCUGGUGAAUUUUAUGAAUCAUUUUUGGGACCCUGUGCAAAUUUAAAGCGAUUGAGAAUCGAUAAAAGUCCAAGCAAUGGUUGGAUGCGCAACAAAUAUCCAACACUUGAGCAUUUGGAAGUAUACGAAUGUGAUCCAUCUCAAGAUAAUGACCUGAAAAUAUUCUUGGAACAAAAUCCAAAUGUACGGAGUUUAUCGACCACAGCUGAACUUCUCCUAAGAAACCGAGUCAUAUUUAUGGCCAGCAAUUUUGGAUUGGAUGACUUGACAAUCUUAAGAGUUGACGAUAUUGAUUUGAUUUCCAUUGCCCUGAUCGAGUUGCAUCAACGAGGGUUUUACAAACGAUUACACUUUAAAACCGAUACAGCAAAACAUUUGGAUCAAUUACUGGGACUUGCCACGCUACGCGUUUAUAGGUACGAACGCAUCAAAAUGCCACAUUUGCCCACGGUAAAAACACUCGUUUUUAAAGCAAUUUGGAAUGGACAAUGUUCUUGGAUGAAUGACGUGUCAAUGGCUUUGAAUAACCUUGAACGCAUUUUUACACCAAAAACAAGCACUGAAUAUAUAUUGCCAUUCAUUCAGAAUUCGACGAAACUAAGAGAAAUAACAAUGGCAGGUUUACGCGGUGAGAUCGAUGUAGUGGCCAUGAAUAAUGAACGUAAGAGAUUGAAAAUGGCACGCAAAGUGACAAUAUACCUCGAAGAAAAGGACUAUCUGAAGCUUAAAUGGAAGCACGCAUGCACUGACUUUGGUUUGAUCGAACUAAAACGAAAUAAAUCGUAUGACGGCGUUUGGGAUUACACUUUUGGAUCCUAUUACUAAAGUAGUGAAGUAAGAAAAAAUUUCAUUUUGGAACGAUAUUUUUUAUGUUUACUAUUUUUAGAGACUCAAAAUAAAUUGACCAUGUAUCUAAUUUUCAAAAUAAAA